rnacentral:rRNA from 1 species
CCAGACUCCUACGGGAGGCAGCAGUGGGGAAUAUUGCACAAUGGGGGAAACCCUGAUGCAGCGACGCCGCGUGAGUGAAGAAGUAUUUCGGUAUGUAAAGCUCUAUCAGCAGGGAAGAAAAUGACGGUACCUGACUAAGAAGCCCCGGCUAACUACGUGCCAGCAGCCGCGGUAAUACGUAGGGGGCAAGCGUUAUCCGGAUUUACUGGGUGUAAAGGGAGCGUAGACGGCAUGGCAAGUCAGAUGUGAAAGCCCGGGGCUCAACCCCGGGACUGCAUUUGAAACUGUCAGGCUGGAGUGCUGGAGAGGUAAGCGGAAUUCCUAGUGUAGCGGUGAAAUGCGUAGAUAUUAGGAGGAACACCAGUGGCGAAGGCGGCUUACUGGACAGUAACUGACGUUGAGGCUCGAAAGCGUGGGGAGCAAACAGGAUUAGAUACCCUGGUAAAA